UACCAGCACCCCGAGUGGUCGGGACGUUUUAUUGGGCCUAAAGCAUCCGUAGCCGGUUCUACAAGUCUUCCGUUAAAUCCACCUGCUUAACAGAUGGGCUGCGGAAGAUACUAUAGAGCUAGGAGGCGGGAGAGGCAAGCGGUACUCGAUGGGUAGGGGUAAAAUCCGUUGAUCCAUUGAAGACCACCAGUGGCGAAGGCGGCUUGCCAGAACGCGCUCGACGGUGAGGGAUGAAAGCUGGGGGGAGCAAACC
rnacentral:rRNA from 1 species